rnacentral:lncRNA from 1 species
GGAAAACUGUAGGUUUAUUUUCCACUAGGACCAGGUUAGACCAUCAGAAGACUCUAUACCUGGAUCACAUUGCUUCGCCUUUUCACAGAACUGCAUUGAAGGACAUUUUAAGAACCAUCCUCCUGAAAUGUAUUAAAGUUAUUUAAUAUGGAAGUCCCCAUGAUUUCACAUGUUCAGUAUUUGAGGACCCAUGGGAAAAACCCCACUUGUAUGUGGUUGAGAGAUUUGUGAGCCACGUGGAGAAGACUUGAAGGUGUGAACUGGAUACCAUGGCAGCUGAUGUCAGGACAGGCCGUCAUAGAUGACCAAACCCUGCAUCCAAAGUGAGCUUUCCUGUCGGUGUUCUGACUUCUCGUGUGAACAAUGACUGAGGUGGUUCAUUCCUGCAGAGAAGCCCCUUCCUUCUCACCACGCACCAUCUGGGGGGCUGGACUGCAAAGGUGAAAUGGACAAUCAGCCCACUGGAAAAGUGACUGCUGGGCUGUAGGAAAGGGCAGGGCUCAUGGCCUUGCUGUCCAAACACCACUCACAAGUCCAGCAAAGGAAGGGUUGAAUGAAUUUUCAAAGCACUUUGAACUUUCGGGGGAGAAUAAAAUAGAAUGGAAAAGAGUAGAAUAAAAUAACCCAGACCAACCCACUCAAGUCCAAGGUAACCCCAAAGAAAGACUUACUACUGUGAUCUCAGCAAUCACUGAGAUACUAGGUGAGCCUCUUCCACCAUUGCUAGUGUCUCACUGGAGUACUACAU